rnacentral:lncRNA from 1 species
CCUCUGCUGUGAGGGAUGUGAAGCUAUAUCCUUCCUCUGCUGUGAGGGAUGUGAAGCUAUAUCCUUCCUCUGCUGUGAGGGAUGUGAAGCUAUAUCCUUCCUCUGCUGUGAGGGAUGUGAAGCUAUAUCCUUCCUCUACUGUGAGGGAUGUGAAGCUAUAUCCUUCCUCUACUGUGAGGGAUGUGAAGCUAUAUCCUUCCUCUACUGUGAGGGAUGUGAAGCUAUAUCCUUCCUCUGCUGUGGGGGAUGUGAAGCUAUAUCCUUCCUCCUCUACUGUGGGGGAUGUGAAGCUAUAUCCUUCCUCUGCUGUGAGUGAUGUGAAGCUCUAUCCUUCCUCCUCUGCUGUGGGGGAUGUGAAGCUAUAUCCUUCCUCCUCUGCUGUGGGGGAUGUGAAGCUAUAUCCUUCCUCCUCUGCUGUGGGGGAUGUGAAGCUAUAUCCUUCCUCUGCUGUGAGGGAUGUGAACCUAUAUCCUUCGUCCUUUCACGUACUCUCUGUCUCCCGGGUCGGCUGUAUAGAUUUUAGAGUAUAGUAGGUGGGAACUGUCCCUUGUUAUGGAAAUCUGUUUGCUUAGUUUUCGUAGCUGGCUAGAUGUUUUGUACGUAGACCUUGGAAAGAGGAUGUUGUGUACGCAGGGUAAUGCUACUACUAUACUAUAGGUGUUUUUAAAGACUGUUUUGCGAAAUAUUUAAAAUUCACGAUUUUUUUGGGGAGGUUUUACACCAACUUUAAAAAGAGACGUUUCUGGUCCUUUUACACACUUAGGAAAUUGUGUUUUUUAAGCUUUAAAAUAAUUCCUCCAAACCCAUGUAAUCUCUCCAGCCAGAGCCCAGUCGUUUUGAAUAAAGGCAUCGAACCACUCUUUAACCGAAAGCAUUCAAAGCGGAUAUUUAAGGACUCUUGUUCAAAAGGAAAGCUGAAGCGUUAACUGAUUCCACGAUAGAAAUGUAAAGGUCAUUUUGAGCCAACAUAUGAACUUCCGCGAUACAGAUUGAAUAGAUUGAAUAGAUUGUAAACCUUUAAAAAAAAAGCCCAUCCGUCUCACUGGCUUGACAUGAGCUCUUUAUAACGGCCUCUCUGCCACCUAGUGAGGAAAGAUGGUAUUACACACAGAGCCUCUGCAGAGAGCAGGGAAAUGAGGUGCCACUUGUUUGGCUCUGGAGAGAGACAGGGUGAGGAGGAUAGAUAAACUGAUGGAAUAGAUAGAUAGAUAGAUAGAUAGAUAGAUAGAUAGAUAGAUAGAUAGAUAGAUAGAUAGAUAGAUAGAUAGAUAGAUAGAUAGAUAGAUAGAUAGAUAGAUAGAUAGAUAGAUAGAUAGAUAGAUAGAUAGAUAGAUAGAUAGAUAGAUAGAUAGAUUGUCCAUAAGAUAGUUUUCCUUUCCAAACAUGGCCAUAUAGCUGCAGUUUGUUAUGUCAGAGAUGGUUUCUAAUAAUGAAAUAGUAUAUAUAUAUAUAUAUAUAUAUAUUAGAGAUAAUAAUGUCUUAAUGAAGCCCUUUGAGAAAGUCUUCUCUGUCUCAGCUGAUGGGUUUGUACAUGGGCAUGGGUAUGUGGUUGUGUUGUUGUGAUGAGUUUGUGUGUUUGAGAGAGCAUAUCGUGUUGACAGGUUUACGAGAGAGAGAGAGAGAGAGAGAGAGAGAGAGAGAGAGAGAGAGAGAGAGAGAGAGAGAGAGAGAGAGAGAGAGAGAGAGAGAGAGAGAGAGCAGAAAUAGCUUGUUUUUGUAUCAUUCUAACCAGUGGUUUCUCUGACUUUAUGAGAUUGUUUUUGAUAGUUAUACAGAGGACAGAAUGAGGAUAUAUAUGAACCAUAAAACGUGGAAUGUUUAGAUGUUUUGAUAAAUAAGAAGAGAAUCGAUACUAUAGCCUGGUGUCACAACAGAAGAGAAUCGAUACUAUAGCCUGGUGUCACAACAGAAGAGAAUCGAUACUAUAGCCUGGUGUCACAACAGAAGAGAAUCGAUACUAUAGCCUGGUGUCACAACAGAAGAGAAUCGAUACUAUAGCCUGGUGUCACAACAGAAGAGAAUCGAUACUAUAGCCUGGUGCCAGAUCUAUUUGUGCUGUAUACAGACACAUCCAUGACAAGGUCCAUGUGAGUUGGCAAGACAGCACCAACAGAUCUGGGACCAGGCUAAACUGACGCAGUCUUUGUUUUUCACCUCAGUCCCCAAACUAGUGACCAACAUUGUGUUCAAUGGAUGGAUGGAUGAAUUCAAAUGAUUAUUGUCUUCUUCUUUGUUGUCUGAAAGAAACAUUCAGUGGUAUAGCUUGACUUCAGUGCAGUAACACCAGACAGACCAGAUAUAAUGUGAUGUGUGAUCUGUUUGUGUUGGCCAACUCUGUGGUAAUGACCAUAGGAGCUGGUAAGAUAGCACAUAGUUACAUUGAUCCCCCCCCAAUGAAUGAGAGAUCACGGUGAAUUGGAGCACGUUUAUUGAUCUGCACCAUUGAGCAUUGAUUACAUUUACAUUUUAGUAGACACUCUUAUCCAGAGCGACUUACAGUACUGAAUGCAUACAUUUCAUACAUUUCUUUCUCCGUACCGGUCCCUCGUGGGAAUCGAACCCACAACCCUGGCGUUGCAAACACCAUGCUCUACCAACUGAGCCACACAGGAAGAUGAUGAGUGUCUGCUCGAGCUACAGUACAUCCGCAGACGACAGGACCAUUGACUGACUGUCUGCACCAAUGAAUGGACAAAGCCAUUGAUCGCGUGACACCACUAAUUCCUCUGUGAAGACUCAGUGGCGAAUUGAAGCCUAAUUAAUUCGGAUAAGAUUGCGUCUCACGGAGACAUAACAUGCAGCGCUUUGAGCUACUCCAGAAUGUGACGUUGCAGGCUAGCUCAGCGCUGCCCCCUUCUCAUUGAGUAACUCGCGUUGAAGGCCGACCGGGGUACUGCAGUCUUCCAUUAGCAACUAAUCCUUAUCCUGCGAUAGAAAAAAAUGAUUGGUUUCGAGGACAUAUAUCUGGUGUUUUAAAAGCAAUUAUUGGUAGCGUGACUGUCUUCGAAAAUUGUGUUUAAUUACACGAAGAUUGACCAUGAAGAUCAAACUAAUGUCCAUUUAAGGAAUCCUGUUUUUGCAAACAAUUCCUGCAGUACCACAGUCUGCCUUGAACUUCCGUGGCUUUAAUAAUGAGAGUGGGUAACGGGGCGUCGUAAGGAUUGGACCAAGGUGCAGCGGGAACGUGUAAUACUCAUCUUCUUUAUUACAUCAAAAGAAGGAAAAAACAAACGAAACACGUAUACAAAACAACAAACGACACUAAACAGUCCUGUCAGGUGCUCAGACACUAAACAGUCCUGUCAGGUGCUCAGACACUAAACAGUCCUGUCAGGUGCUCAGACACUAAACAGUCCUGUCAGGUGCUCAGACACUAAACAGGAGACAACUACCCACAAAUCCCAUAGGAAAAAACACCCCCUCUUAAAUAAGACCUUCAAUUAGAAGCAACGAGGAGCAGCUGCUUCCAAUUGAAGGUCAACCCCAUUAACUAAACAUAGACAUAGAAAGACUAGAACUAACAUAGAAAUAUACUAACAAGAACAUAGCCCAACAAACCCCAAAACACUCUAAACAAACACCCCUCUUACAUAAUAACAUAGCCCAACAAACCGCGAACCACAUAAAACCAACACCCCCUGCCACGUCCUGACCAAACUACAAUAACAAAUAACCCCUUAUACUGGUCAGGACGUGACAGAGUGGGAAGUCGUUCUCAUCCGAUGGCUGCCAUGUUUUUGGACGACGUGAGUGAUGUCAUCACUUUACCAUGGUUACCGUUACAACAUGCCUUACAGUACUCAGUCUUAUAACUACACGAGAGAAUGUCCGUCUUUACCAUGACAGGACAGUAUGAUGGAUGAAAUUAUUUCUCCAAUAGAAAUCCCCGAUAAUGCUUGUAGGCGAUGUCAUGGCAACGUUGGCUAGCUAAGCUCAUGUGCAGAAACACGUUGUCCUGAACUGCCCAUGUGCAGAACACAUCAUCAGGUCUAACGGUCAUCCUGAACUGCCCAUGUGCAGAACACGUCAUCAGGUCUAACGGUCAUCCUGAACUGCCCAUGUGCAGAACACGUCAUCAGGUCUAACGGUCGCUCUGAACUGCCCAUGUGCAGAACACGUCAUCAGGUCUAACGGUCGUCCUGAACUGCCCAUGUGCAGAACACGUCAUCAGGUCUAACGGUCAUCCUGAACUGCCCAUGUGCAGAACACAUCAUCAGGUCUAACGGUUGUCUCGUCCUGAACUGCCCAUGUGCAGAACACGUCAUCAGGUCCCAACCCCCUCCAUCCAACCUGUCUCCACUCCCAACCUCCCAUCCCCCCAACCCCUCCAGCCAACCUGUCUCCACUCCCAACCUCCCAUCCCCCCCAACCCCCUCCAGC